rnacentral:rRNA from 1 species
AACGAACGCUGGCGGCAUGCCUAACACAUGCAAGUCGAACGAGACCUUCGGGUCUAGUGGCGCACGGGUGCGUAACGCGUGGGAACCUGCCCUUAGGUUCGGAAUAACUCCCCGAAAGGGGUGCUAAUACCGUAUAAUGUCUUCGGACCAAAGAUUUAUCGCCUUUGGAUGGGCCCGCGUUGGAUUAGCUAGUUGGCAGGGUAAAAGCCUACCAAGGCGACGAUCCAUAGCUGGUCUGAGAGGAUGAUCAGCCACACUGGGACUGAGACACGGCCCAGACUCCUACGGGAGGCAGCAGUGGGGAAUAUUGGACAAUGGGCGAAAGCCUGAUCCAGCAAUGCCGCGUGAGUGAUGAAGGCCUUAGGGUUGUAAAGCUCUUUUACCCGGGAUGAUAAUGACAGUACCGGGAGAAUAAGCGCCGGCUAACUCCGUG